rnacentral:rRNA from 1 species
GAUGAACGCUGGCGGCGUGCUUAACACAUGCAAGUCGAACGAAGCACCUUAUUCUGAUUUCUUCGGAAUGAAAAAUUUGGUGACUGAGUGGCGGACGGGUGAGUAACGCGUGGGUAACCUGCCUCAUACAGGGGGAUAACAGUUAGAAAUGACUGCUAAUACCGCAUAAGACCACAGCACCGCAUGGUGCAGGGGUAAAAACUCCGGUGGUAUGAGAUGGACCCGCGUCUGAUUAGGUAGUUGGUGGGGUAACGGCCUGCCAAGCCGACGAUCAGUAGCCGACCUGAGAGGGUGACCGGCCACAUUGGGACUGAGACACGGCCCAAACUCCUACGGGAGGCAGCAGUGGGGAAUAUUGCACAAUGGUGGAAACCCUGAUGCAGCGACGCCGCGUGAGCGAUGAAGUAUUUCGGUAUGUAAAGCUCUAUCAGCAGGGAAGAAAAUGACGAUACCUGACUAAGAAGCACCGGCUAAAUACGUGCCAGCAGCCGCAGUAA